GCGCUGGACCAUGCACAAGUCUCCUGGAAUGGAGCGUCAUAGAGGGUGAGAAUCCCGUCUUUGGCAUGGAUGCACCAGGGCUUCUGUGAUGCGCUCUCAAAGAGUCGAGUUGUUUGGGAAUGCAGCUCAAAAUGGGUGGUGAACUCCAUCUAAAGCUAAAUAUUGGCGAGAGACCGAUAGCGAACAAGUACCGUGAGGGAAAGAUGAAAAGCACUUUGGAAAGAGAGUGAAACAGUACGUGAAAUUGUUGAAAGGGAAACGCUUGAAGUCAGUCGCGUCGACCGAGACUCAGCCUUGCCUCGGCUUGGUGUACUUCUCGGCUGACGGGUCAGUGUCAAUUUUGGGCCUCGGAUAAUGACAAGGGAAAGGUGGCACCUUUAUAGGUGUGUUAUAGUCUCCUGUCGGAUGCGAGGGUCGGGAUUGAGGAACUCAGCACGCGCCUUUUGGUGUCGGGGCUUCGGCCCACGCUACGUGCUUAGGAUGCUGGCAUAAUGGCUUUAAACGACCCGUCUUGAAACACGGACCAAGGAGUCUAACAUGCCCGCGAGUGUUCGGGUGGAAAACCCGUGCGCGUAAUGAAAGUAAAAGUUGGGACCUCUGUCGUGGAGAGCACCGACGCCCGGACCAGACCUUCUGUGACGGAUCUGCGGUAGAGCGUGCAUGUUGGGACCCGAAAGAUGGUGAACUAUGCCUGAAUAGGGUGAAGCCAGAGGAAACUCUGGUGGAGGCUCGUAGCGAUUCUGACGUGCAAAUCGAUCGUCAAAUUUGG
rnacentral:rRNA from 1 species